GCAGUCACUUGUGCUGACAGCUGACAGGAAAGGACCUUCACCUUCAUACAUACUUCAGAAACACAGUGCUUGAAGAGGUAACCAAUGGUGGUGACCUAAAAGCUGGACUUUGAGGGACUGUCUACUUUGACCUUUGCCACUUAGAAUGAAUCAAUUCUGAAGUAUUGUUGAAGAAUGAUAAACAGCUCAUUCAGUAGACCAGGACUUCUUAAGACUGAACUGUGGCAACCCCCUUUAUAUGUUAUAGCCUUAGCCCCUGACAUGACCAUAUCUGGAGUUGUGCCUUCAAGGAGUGCAAUAUCCCACAGUGCACCGAAUUCAUCAGCAACCAUGUGAGUGAGUUUGGAAACAGACUCACUCUCAAUCAAACCUUAAGAUCUUUUCAACCUUGGAUGAUGCGUGUUUACAGCCAGUGAGAGACACAGAAUCACCAGACCCAGGACACCUCUGUAACAACAUUUGUGAACUUUUUG